rnacentral:rRNA from 1 species
ACGGCUCAGUAACACGUGGACAACCUACCCUGAAGAGGGGGAUAACCCCGGGAAACUGGGGAUAAUACCCCAUAGACUAUGGAUGCUGGAAUGCUUUGUAGUUGAAAGGUCCGCCGCUUCAGGAUGGGUCUGCGGCCGAUUAGGUUGUUGUUGGGGUAACGGCCCAACAAGCCUGUAAUCGGUACGGGUUGUGGGAGCAAGAGCCCGGAGAUGGAUUCUGAGACACGAAUCCAGGCCCUACGGGGCGCAGCAGGCGCGAAAACUUUACAAUGCGAGCAAUCGUGAUAAGGGAACUCCGAGUGCCUGUAAAAUCAGGCUGUCCGCCAGUGUAAAUAACUGGUGAAGAAAGGGCCGGGCAAGACCGGUGCCAGCCGCCGCGGUAAUACCGGCGGCUCGAGUGGUGGCCACUAUUACUGGGCUUAAAGCGUUCGUAGCUGGUCUGUUAAGUCUCUGGGGAAAUCUUCCGGCUUAACCGGAAGGCGUCUCAGGGAUACUGGCAGACUAGGGACCGGAAGAGGUGAGAGGUACUCCAGGGGUAGGAGUGAAAUCCUGUAAUCCUUGGGGGACCACCUGUGGCGAAGGCGUCUCACCAGGACGGCUCCGACAGUGAGGAACGAAAGCUGGGGGAGCAAACCGGAUUAGAUACCCGGGUAGUCCCAGCUGUAAACGAUGCGCGUUAGGUGUAUCGGUGACCACGAGUCACCGAGGUGCCGAAGAGAAAUCGUGAAACGCGCCGCCUGGGAAGUACGGUCGCAAGGCUGAAACUUAAAGGAAUUGGCGGGGGAGCAC